rnacentral:tRNA from 1 species
GCUUGGCUGGCUCAGUUGGUAGAGCAUUCGACUCUUGAUCUCAGGGUUGUGAGUUCAAGCCCCACAUUGGGCA